ACCUACGGGAGGCAGCAGUAGGGAAUCUUCCACAAUGGACGAAAGUCUGAUGGAGCAACGCCGCGUGAGUGAAGAAGGGUUUCGGAUCGUAAACCUCUGUCAGGAGGGAAGAAAGCGCAUGGCGCCAAUCAGCCAUGCGUUGACGGUACCUCCAAAGGAAGCGCCGGCUAACUCCGUGCCAGCAGCCGCGGUAAUACGGAGGGCGCGAGCGUUAAUCGGAAUUACUGGGCGUAAAGCGCGCGUAGGUUGUUGUGUAAGUUGGGGGUGAAGUCCCACGGCUCAAC
rnacentral:rRNA from 1 species